rnacentral:misc_RNA from 1 species
UUUCCGUAGGUGAGCCCGCGGAAGGAUCAUUAACAAAUUUGAAGAGGGGUUGAUGGAUUGGUGGAGAUAUUUGAUUGAUCUAAUCCACAACAACACAUUCACCGCUUGUUGUGUAUUGACUGUUUAAAUAUGACACUUUUUAAGUAAAAGACAACUUUUAACAAUGGAUCUCUUGGCUCUU